AACCGUGACGUCAUCUGACUAAACCACCACACACAUAAGUUAAAGACAACGGGUGCACUGUGAUUUCGUGCUAUAUUUCCAUGUAAAAUAAUCUCUCAGAGAGAAAGUUAGAAGUGAAUGAAUGUGCUGCUCCUCUCUGCCCCUCACUGAACAGAGUAGCCGCAGAGAGAGGCGUGUCUCCGGGGGAAAGCAGGACCUCACACUCACCGGGCAGUACUGGCCAUUCUCUUCUACAGAAAGUAGCUAAGGUCAGUCUCCCCGGCGCGCGCACAGACAUAUGUAGUCAAAUCGGAGGAGUGAGCCAUAAGAUCUGUUAUGACGUCACGUUCAGAGUUCUAUAAGUUUCCUGAUGGUAUGCUUGACAGUUGUUCCGUUUAUGACGCCGCAAAUGUCGAGGUUUUUAAACGUUGUGGUAUCAGAGCUGGCCUCUGUAUUCAUUGAACGGAGUAGUAUUUAAUCAUUGGUCUAUCUAACCUUUUCAUGUGGUUAGUUUCUUUGUUUGUUCAUCUGUGUUUAAGAAUGGACAUUGAAAUAAUAUAUCCAGAUAUGUGUACAGCUGCUGUGUGACAAUGUAAACUUAAAAAAAACCCAACAUUUCCAUGUCUAGAGAAGAGGGUGCGUUCUUUAAAAAUUAAAUCAUAAUGAUGAUGCUGUUAAACAGUUCAGAA
ensembl:lncRNA